UGCCAGCAGCCGCGGUAAUACGGGGGGUGCAAGCGUUGUCCGGAAUUACUGGGCGUAAAGGGCGUGUAGGCGGCCUAUUAAGUCAGAUGUGAAAGCCCACGGCUUAACCGUGGAACUGCAUUUGAAACUGGUAGGCUUGAGUAUGAGAAGGGGUAGUGGAAUUCCCAGUGUAGCGGUGAAAUGCGUAGAUAUUGGGAAGAACAUCGGUGGCGAAGGCGGCUUUCUGGUUCGAUACUGACGCUGAGAUACGAAAGCCAGGGGAGCAAACGGGAUUAGAUA
rnacentral:rRNA from 1 species